UUCCAGUUCAGUUUUAGCUGGGAAGCAGCUCCUUCCUCUCUUCCACCCUUGGUUAUUGAGGAGUUCUGACUGGUAGUAUCCUGAUCCUUGCUGCCCUUGCCUUCUCACAGAUUUUUAUUUGACCUUCUGUGCCUGGAAAUUGUUCUCUCAUCCAGUGGAAUAUGUACUUCUGGGAUUUCUCAAUCUGGAAUAUAACCCUUUCUGUCACACUGGCCUGAAAAAAAAAAAGAUUGCGUGCUGGCAAACAGGCUCACCCUGCUCCACUAUAGGUUACAAGCAGUGAACCUGGACCACCUGACCAGAGGACCGAUCAGAAGACAAGAUACUUUCAAAUCUCGGUGGAGGGAAGUCUUUGUUUUGUGUUGUUUGUUUGUCUGUUGUUCUCUCUGGGUUCUGAGAGUGACUAGACGUACCUACGGGCUCUCUAAUUUUCUGUUCAAGUAGUAAGUACAAGU